rnacentral:rRNA from 1 species
GGGUUGUGAGGUUAAGCGACUAAGCGUACACGGUGGAUGCCCUGGCAGUCAGAGGCGAUGAAGGACGUGCUAAUCUGCGAAAAGCGACGGUAAGGUGAUAUGAACCGCUACAGCCGUCGAUGUCCGAAUGGGGAAACCCAGUGCACUUUGUGCAUUAUCGUUAACUGAAUACAUAGGUUAACGAGGCGAACCGGGGGAA